rnacentral:rRNA from 1 species
UACAGAGGUCCCAAGCGUUGUUCGGAUUCACUGGGCGUAAAGCGUGCGCAGGCGGUUCUCCAAGUCCGCUGUGAAAGCCCUGGGCUCAACCUGGGAAUUGCAGUGGAUACUGGCAAGCUAGAGUGCGGUAGAGGAUGGUGGAAUUCCCGGUGUAGCGGUGAAAUGCGUAGAGAUCGGGAGGAACACCCGUGGCGAAGGCGGCCAUCUGGACCAGCACUGACGCUGAGGCACGAAAGCGUGGGGAGCAAACAGG